CCCUUCAGAAAGACUAACUUGAACUCACAACUGGUAACCCACUGAAGCUAAGCAGGUGUGAGCCUGGUUAGUACCUGGGUGGGAGACCUCCUGGGAAAAACUAAGUUUGAUGCUG
rnacentral:rRNA from 1 species